rnacentral:rRNA from 1 species
AGCGGAGGGUCAUUACCGAGUUAUUCUACUCCCAAACCCCUGUGAACUUAUACCUUUACUGUUGCUUCGGCGGGUUAACGCCCCGGAAGGCCCGCGAGGGCCGCCGGAACCAGGCGCCCGCCGGGGGACCCAAACUCUUGUAUCUUUUUUAUAGCAUGUCUGAGUGGAAUCAUAAACAAAUGAAUCAAAACUUUCAACAACGGAUCUCUUGGUUCUGGCAUCGAUGAAGAACGCAGCGAAAUGCGAUAAGUAAUGUGAAUUGCAGAAUUCAGUGAACCAUCGAAUCUUUGAACGCACAUUGCGCCCGCCAGUAUUCUGGCGGGCAUGCCUGUUCGAGCGUCAUUUCAACCCUCAAGCCCCAGUGGCCUGGUGUUGGGGACCGGCGACCUCGCCCGGGGGAACACCCCCGGCGCGUCCGCCGCCCCCGAAAUGAAUUGGCGGCCCCGUCGCGGCCUCCUCUGCGUAGUAGCACAACCUCGCAGCGGGAGCGCGACGCGGCCACUGCCGUAAAACGCCCAACUUUUUUUUUAGAGUUGACCCUCGGAUCAGGUAGGAAUACCCGGCUGAAACUUAAGGCAUAUCAAUAA